rnacentral:misc_RNA from 1 species
UUAACUUGUUUUUUUUGUAAAUCAGAACGUACAGUCCGCUGUGCAUUUAGAGUUUGGCGCUGCCGGCGGGGACGGGAGCGGCGCGGCCCGCUAGGGCGCGCGACGCACACCGCCUCCCGCCGAGACAACGCGGCAAGAGGUAAGGUUCACAGUGGGUUUUGAAGGUAACUUCGGUAAUGAUCCCUCCGCUGGUUCACCAACGGAGA